rnacentral:tRNA from 1 species
GCCUCUAUGGCGCAGUGGUAACGCGUUGCACUUGUACCUUGACAAGACAAAUGCAAAGAUCCCUCGUUCGAUCCGGGGUGGAGGCA